rnacentral:rRNA from 1 species
UACGUAGGGGGCAAGCGUUGUCCGGAAUUAUUGGGCGUAAAGAGCGCGUAGGCGGUCCGAUAAGUCGGCUGUGAAAGUCAAGGGCUCAACCCUUGAAAGCCGGCCGAUACUGUCGGACUAGAGUCCGGAAGAGGCAAGUGGAAUUCCCGGUGUAGUGGUGAAAUGCGUAGAUAUCGGGAGGAACACCGGUGGCGAAGGCGGUUCUCUGGGCAUGAUCUGACGCUGAGGAGCGAAAGUGUGGGGAGCAAACAGG